rnacentral:rRNA from 1 species
GAACGCCGGCCAGUGUGUGAAAUCGGGCUUAUUAGAUACCCUGGUAGUCACACGGGUUAACGAUGAAUACUCGCUGUNUGCGAUAUACUGCAAGCGGCCAAGCGANAGCGUUAAGUAUUCCACCUGGGGAGUACGCGGGCACGGUGAAACUCAAAGGAAUUGACGGGGGCCCGCACAAGCGGAGGAACAUGUGGUUUAAUUCGAUGAUACGCGAGGAACCUUACCCGGGCUUAAAUUGCAUUUGAAUAAUUUGGAAACAGGUUAGCCGCAAGGCAGAUGCGAAGGUGCUGCAUGGUUGUCGUCAGCUCGUGCCGUGAGGUGUCGGCUUAAGUGCCAUAACGAGCGCAACCCUUGUCUAUAGUUACUAACAGGUGAUGCUGAGGACUCUAUGGAGACUGCCAUCGUAAGAUGUGAGGAAGGUGGGGAUGACGUCAAAUCAGCACGGCCCUUACGUCCGGGGCUACACACGUGUUACAAUGGGGGGUACAGAGGGCCGCUACCACGCAAGUGGAUGCCAAUCCCGAAAACCCCUCUCAGUUCGGACUGGAGUCUGCAACCCGACUCCACGAAGCUGGAUUCGCUAGUAAUCGCGCAUCAGCCACGGCGCGGUGAAUACGUUCCCGGGCCUUGUACACACCGCCCGUCAAGCCAUGGGAGCCGGGGGUACCUGAAGUGCGUCACCGCGAGGAGCGCCCUAGGGUAAAACUGGUGACUGGGGCUAAGUCGUAACAAGGUUC